rnacentral:lncRNA from 1 species
UUCGGAUUAAACUUGUGUAGUUUGAAUCAAAUUGCAAGAGUGAUUUUGGAUUAAACUUGUGUAGCUUGGAUCAAAUUGCAAGAGCCUAUUAUAUACAGAUGGCAGUGCAACAAGUUCACUCUUUAGUCCAUGGGUUGGGUCACUUAAUUGAUGGUGGUUGAAUGCCGUAAAAAGGUUUAUCAUGCCCUCAUUCGACAUCAGUUUGUUUUUAUAUGAGAUGAUUGAAACUCGAUCCUAGCAAGUGGCAUCAGAGUCAGGGUUAUGGGUUUGAGUCACAAGAGCAUCAUUUUGAGGAAGGGAUUGUUGCGGUACAAUAAGACCGCUCAUAGGUCCAUGGAUUGGGUCACUCAAAUUUGGUGGUCUAAUGCAAUAUAAUGUUUAGCCUGAUGUCAUUCACUGGACACUAAUUAAUUUUUGAUGAGAUGGUCGAAAUUCAAUCCUAACACGUACAUUUGAGUAACAUUAGAAAUGUUGUGAACAAACAUUGAGACAAUAUAUCAACAGAUCAGUUGUCAUUCUGCCCUUUAAUAUAGAAUAGUUAUGUACUUCCAAAUAGUGCUGAUUAGAAGUAUUUCCAGAUAUUAACAGAACUUUACAGUUAUGAACUUAUCCUUGUCUCCUACUUUUCAUCUUUUGACUUUGAAAUUCUAUUGAUUGUAUAUUCAAGAUCCAGAUGUGAUUGAGAAGUGCAAUCAUGUUUUUGGAAUGAAAAUAUGCACUUCAUUUUCAGAGUUCUAUCAAGGGACUAGGCCUU